AAACAGGUAAAGCAUCAAUACAGGACUAAGAUUGAAUCAUAGUACACUGGCUCCAACGCUCGUUGGAUGUGGCAGGGCUUGCAAACUAUUACAGACUACAAAGGGAACCACAGCCGCGAGCUGCCCAAUGACACAGGCCUACAAGAUGAGCUAAAUGACUUCUAUGCUCGCUUCGAGGCAAGCAACACUGAAGCAUACAUGAGAGCAUCAGCUGUUCUGGACGACUGUGUGAUCACACUCUCCGUAGCCGAUGUGAGUAAGACCUUUAAACAGGUCAACAUUCACAAGGCUGCAGGGCCAGAUGGAUUACCAAGACGUGUACUCCGAGCAUGCGCUGACCAAGUGGCAAGUGUCUUCACUGACAUUUUCAACCUGUCCCUGACUGAGUCUGUAAUACCAACAUGUUUCAAGCAGACCACCAUAGUCCCUGUGCCCAAGAACACAAAGGUAACCUGCCUAAAUGACUACCGACCCGUAGCACCCACGUCUGUAGCCAUGAAAUGCUUUGAAAGGCUGGUCAUGGCUUACAUCAACACCAUUAUCCCAGAAACCAUAGACCCACUCCAAUUUGCAUACCACCCCAACAGAUCCACAGAUGACGCAAUCUCUAUUGCACUCCACACUGCCCUUUCCCACCUGGACAAAAGGAACCCCUACGUGAGAAUGCUAUUCACUGUCUACAGCUCAGCGUUCAACACCAUAGUGCCCUCAAAGCUCAUCACUAAGCUAAGGAUCCUGGGACUAAACACCUCCCUCUGCAACUGGAUCCUGGACUUCCUGAUGGGCCACCCCCAGGUUGUAAGGGUAGGUAACAACACAUCUGCCACAUUGAUCCUCAACAUGGGGGUCCGUCAGGGGUGCAUGCUCAGUCACCUCCUGUACUCCCUGUUCACACAUGACUGCACGGCCAGGAACGAUUCCAACACCAUGAUUAAGUUUUCCGACAACACAACAGUGGUAAGCUUGAUCCCCGACAACAAUAAGACAGCCUACAGGGAGGAGGUCAGAGACCUGACCAUGUGGUGCCAGGAUAACAACCUCUCCCUUAACGUGAUCAAGGCAAAGGAGAUGAUUGUGGACUUCAGGAAAAGGAGGGCCGAGCACACCCCCAUUCUCAUCGACAGGGGUGUCAUCGAGCAGGUUGAGAGCUUCAAGUUUCUUGGUGUCCACAUCACCAACAAACUAUCAUGGUCCAAACACACCAAGAUAGUCAUGAAGAGGGCACGACAAAGCCUAUUCCCCCUCAGAAGACCGAAAGUGUUUGGCAUGGGUCCU
rnacentral:lncRNA from 8 species